UACGUAGGGUGCGAGCGUUGUCCGGAAUUAUUGGGCGUAAAGGGCUCGUAGGCGGUCUGUCGCGUCGAAAGUGAAAACUCAGGGCUUAACCCUGAGCCUGCUUCCGAUACGGGCAGACUAGAGGUAUGCAGGGGAGAACGGAAUUCCUGGUGUAGCGGUGGAAUGCGCAGAUAUCAGGAGGAACACCGGUGGCGAAGGCGGUUCUCUGGGCAUUACCUGACGCUGAGGAGCGAAAAUGUGGGGAGCGAACAGG
rnacentral:rRNA from 1 species